AGCCUUAAAAAGGAUUCGAACCUCCUUCCUUUAAUUUACA
rnacentral:tRNA from 1 species